AAAGUGGAGCAAUCCAUGAGUAGAGUGGCGAACGGGUGAGUAACACGUGGGUGACCUACCUUCGAAUGGGGGAUAACGUCCCGAAAGGGACGCUAAUACCGCAUAACAUCCUGCCUUUGAACAGGUGGAGAUCAAAGCCGGGGAUCGCAAGACCUGGCGUUUGAAGAGGGGCCCGCGUCUGAUUAGCUAGUUGGUGAGGUAACGGCUCACCAAGGCGACGAUCAGUAUCCGGCCUGAGAGGGCGGACGGACACACUGGGACUGAGACACGGCCCAGACUCCUACGGGAGGCAGCAGUGGGGAAUUGUACGCAAUGGGCGCAAGCCUGACGACGCAACGCCGCGUGGAGGAUGAAGGUCUUCGGAUUGUAAACUCCUGUUGCCCGGGACGAAACGCUUCGACCUAACACGUCGAGGCCUGACGGUACCGGGUGAGGAAGCCCCGGCUAACUCUGUGCCAGCAGCCGCGGUAAUACAGAGGGGGCAAGCGUUGUUCGGAAUUACUGGGCGUAAAGGGCGCGUAGGCGGCCUUCUAAGUCGAACGUGAAAUCCCCGGGCUCAACCCGGGAACUGCGUCCGAUACUGGAAGGCUUGAAUCCGGGAGAGGGAUGUGGAAUUCCAGGUGUAGCGGUGAAAUGCGUAGAUAUCUGGAGGAACACCGGUGGCGAAGGCGGCAUCCUGGACCGGCAUUGACGCUGAGGCGCGAAAGCCAGGGGAGCAAACGGGAUUAGAUACCCCGGUAGUCCUGGCCCUAAACGAUGAAUGCUUGGUGUGGCGGGUAUCGAUCCCUGCCGUGCCGAAGCUAACGCAUUAAGCA
rnacentral:rRNA from 1 species